rnacentral:rRNA from 1 species
AACGCUAGCUACAGGCUUAACACAUGCAAGUCGAGGGGCAGCAUGGUCUUAGCUUGCUAAGGCUGAUGGCGACCGGCGCACGGGUGAGUAACACGUAUCCAACCUGCCGUCUACUCUUGGCCAGCCUUCUGAAAGGAAGAUUAAUCCAGGAUAGGAUCAUGAGUUCACAUGUCCGCAUGAUUAAAGGUAUUUUCCGGUAGACGAUGGGGAUGCGUUCCAUUAGAUAGUAGGCGGGGUAACGGCCCACCUAGUCAACGAUGGAUAGGGGUUCUGAGAGGAAGGUCCCCCACAUUGGAACUGAGACACGGUCCAAACUCCUACGGGAGGCAGCAGUGAGGAAUAUUGGUCAAUGGGCGAUGGCCUGAACCAGCCAAGUAGCGUGAAGGAUGACUGCCCUAUGGGUUGUAAACUUCUUUUAUAAAGGAAUAAAGUCGGGUAUGCAUACCCGUUUGCAUGUACUUUAUGAAUAAGGAUCGGCUAACUCCGUGCCAGCAGCCGCGGUAAUACGGAGGAUCCGAGCGUUAUCCGGAUUUAUUGGGUUUAAAGGGAGCGUAGAUGGAUGUUUAAGUCAGUUGUGAAAGUUUGCGGCUCAACCGUAAAAUUGCAGUUGAUACUGGAUGUCUUGAGUGCAGUUGAGGCAGGCGGAAUUCGUGGUGUAGCGGUGAAAUGCUUAGAUAUCACGAAGAACUCCGAUUG